rnacentral:rRNA from 1 species
ACGAACGCUGGCGGCGUGGAUAAGACAUGCAAGUCCGGACGGGACUAUUUUCUAGUAGCAAUACCCGGGAAUAGUUUAGUGGCGAACGGGUGCUUAACACGUGGGCAACCUGCCAGGAAGUGGGGGAUAGCUCGCCGAAAGGCGAAUUAAUUACCGCAUGUGAUUAGAGAGGACAUCCUUUCAAAUUAAAGUCGGGGCAACCUGACCGCUUCUUGUGGGGCCCCGCGGCCCUAUCAGCUAGUUGGUGAGGUAAUGGCCCACCAAGGCUUUGACGGGGUAGCUGGUCUGAGAGGACGACCAGCCACACUGGGGACUGAGACACGGCCCAGACACCUACGGGUGGCAUCAGUCGAGAAUUUUGAACAAUGGGGGAAACCCUGAUCGAGCGACGCCGCGUGGAGGAUGAAGGUCUUCGGGAUUGUAAACUCCCUGUCAUUUGGGGAAACAAUGCACAGAUAUUAACUGUAUUUGUGUUGAUAGUACCCGAAGAGGAAAGAGACCGGCUAACUCUGUGCCAGCAGCCGCGGUUAAUACAGAGGUCUCAAGCGUUGUUCGGAUUCAUUGGGCGUAAAGGGUGCGUAGGCGGCGCGGUAAGUCGGGUGUGAAAUCUUGGAGCUUAACUCCGAAACUGCAUUCGACACUGCCGUGCUUGAGGACUGGAGAGGAGACUGGAAUUUACGGUGUAGCGGUGAAAUGCGUAGAUAUCGUAAGGAAGACCCAGUGGCGAAGGCGGGUCUCUGGACAGUUUCCUGACGCUGAGGCACGAAGGUCAGGGGAGCAAACGGGAUUAGAUACCCCCGGUAGUCCUGACAGUAAACGGUGCACGUUUGGUGUGGGAGGAUUCGACCCCUUCUUGCGCCGGAGCUAACGCGUUAAAAACGUGCCGCCUGGGGAGUACGGUCGCAAGAUUAAAAACUCAAAGAAAUUGACGGGGGGCCCGCCACAAGCGGUGGAGUUAUGUGGCUCAAUUCGAUUGCAACGCGAAGAACCCUUACCAGGGCCUUGACAUGCAUCUCUAAGUUGGUGAAAGCCAGCGAGUCCCGCAAGGGACAAUUUGCACAGGUGCUGCAUGGCUGUCGUCAAGCCCGUGUCGUGAGAUGUUGGGUUAAGUCCCGCAACGAGGCGCAACCCCUGUGAACUGUUUGCCACGGAACCGAGAGGUUCCGGCACUCUGUUCAGACUGCCCCGCUCUAACGGGGAGGAAGGUGGGGGACCGGACGUUCAAGUCAGUAUUGGCCCUUACGGGCCUGGGGCCUGCACAACGUACUACAAUGCCCAGGCAACAGAACGAUCCCAAUGACCGCGAGGUGGAGGGAAAUCAACUAAAUAAAACUGGGCCCAGUUCAGAUUGAAGUCUGCAAACUCCGACUUCAUGAAAGCCGGAAUCGCUUAGUAAUGGCGUAUCAGCUACGACGCCGGUGAAUACGUUUCCCGGGCCUUGUACACAACCGCCCGUCACAUCAUGGGAGUCGCCUUGUAGCCGAAGUCGGCGCGCCCCUAACCCGCAAGGAGGCAGCCGCCGCCUACGCUAUGAGCGGUAAACUGGGAUG